rnacentral:sRNA from 1 species
AUAUCGCUGUGGGACUUUCUUGGAACAUGAGGAGAGUUGGGUGAUAGGAACACAAGGAGCAGAGAACGCACUGGCCUCUGACAGCCGCUCUGUGCAGACCAGUCCUUCAGCCAUGCACAGGAAUUGCCGCCAGAGUAGGACGUGUCUUCUACCGUCUUGAAAGUGAUGAAACCGCCUUUCAGAAAUUACAGCAGUGAGAAAACUAUGACGUUGAAUGAUACCUGAUCUAACCAACCCCCAUCCUGCCUUUGACCUCCAAACUGUCUUUCAUCACUCAUAGGCCUGGGCCAAACUAACUUUGGAAGAUAUAGUUUAAAUGAUAAUAGCCCUUUCCCAAACUGAACUGCCUGUGUAAAGCUAAUGAAAGGCCACUAGGCUAGGAGGAUGAAAGGAGCCUGGAUUCUGCUAAAAUAUAGAUGUAAACGAUGACCAGCCAUUACUCCGGAGGUCACAAGAUUUGCAGCUUCUGCAGAUAAACAUCACUAUUGUAGAACCUAAGAUUGGCCGUUUGAGAUGUCCUUUCAAGUUUUUGCAUUUCUGAUGUCCGACUGAUCCUGUGGCCCCACUCAGAAGCGGACUCCCUGCCCUGCUAAACUACCCUUGAAACACACUAGCCUCCAAAUUUUCGGGGAAAUUGAUUUCAG